CCUACGGGAGGCAGCAGUGAGGAAUAUUGGUCAAUGGGCGCAAGCCUGAACCAGCCAAGUAGCGUGAAGGAUGACUGCUCUAUGGGUUGUAAACUUCUUUUAUAUGGGAGUAAAGUGCAGUAUGUAUACUGCUUUGCAUGUACCUUACGAAUAAGGAUCGGCUAACUCCGUGCCAGCAGCCGCGGUAAUACGGAGGAUCCGAGCGUUAUCCGGAUUUAUUGGGUUUAAAGGGAGCGUAGGUGGGUUGUUAAGUCAGUUGUGAAAGUUUGCGGCUCAACCGUAGAAUUGCAGUUGAUACUGGCAGCCUUGAGUACAGUAGAGGUAGGCGGAAUUUGUGGUGUAGCGGUGAAAUGCUUAGAUAUCACGAAGAACUCCGAUUGCGAAGGCAGCCUGCUGGACUGUAACUGACGCUGAUGCUCGAAAGUGUGGGUAUCAAACAGGAUUAGAUACCCCAGUAGUC
rnacentral:rRNA from 1 species